rnacentral:rRNA from 1 species
AGAGUUUGAUCAUGGCUCAGAACGAACGCUGGCGGCGUGGAUAAGACAUGCAAGUCGGACGGGAUUUUCUUUGGUAGCAAUACCGAAGAAAAUUCAGUGGCGAACGGGUGCGUAACACGUGGGCAAUCUGUCUUAAAGUGGGGGAUAGCUCGGCGAAAGCCGAAUUAAUACCGCAUGUGAUCAGAGGCGACAUCGCUUCGAAAUCAAAGGUGGCGCAAGCUACCGCUUUUUGAGGAGCCCGCGGCCUAUCAGCUUGUUGGUGAGGUAACGGCUCACCAAGGCGUUGACGGGUAGCUGGUCUGAGAGGACGACCAGUCACACUGGGACUGAGACACGGCCCAGACACCUACGGGUGGCAGCAGUCGAGAAUUUUUCUCAAUGGGGGAAACCCUGAAGGAGCGACGCCGCGUGGAGGAUGAAGGUCUUCGGGUUGUAAACUCCUGUCAUUUGGGAACAAGUCGUACGUAUUAACUGUACGUGCGUUGAUAGUACCAGAAGAGGAAGAGACGGCUAACUCUGUGCCAGCAGCCGCGGUAAUACAGAGGUCUCAAGCGUUGUUCGGAUUCAUUGGGCGUAAAGGGUGCGUAGGCGGCGCGGUAAGUCGGGUGUGAAAUCUCGGAGCUUAACUCCGAAACUGCAUUCGAUACUGCCGUGCUUGAGGACUGGAGAGGAGACUGGAAUUUACGGUGUAGCGGUGAAAUGCGUAGAUAUCGUAAGGAAGACCAGUGGCGAAGGCGGGUCUCUGGACAGUUCCUGACGCUGAGGCACGAAGGCCAGGGGAGCAAACGGGAUUAGAUACCCUAGUAGUCC